AGCAGUCGCCGCGGGAAUACGGAGGGGGCUAGCGUUGUUCGGAAUUACUGGGCGUAAAGCGCACGUAGGCGGCUUGGUAAGUUAGAGGUGAAAGCCCGGAGCUCAACUCCGGAAUUGCCUUUAAGACUGCCGAGCUAGUAGGUGAGAGAGGUAAGUGGAAUUCCGAGUGUAGAGGUGAAAUUCGUAGAUAUUCGGAAGAACACCAGUAGCGAAGGCGGCUUACUGGCUCAUUCUAGACGCUGAGGUGCGAAAGCGUGGGGAGCAAACAGGAUUAGAUACCCCGGUAGUCCCUGUCUCUUAUAC
rnacentral:rRNA from 1 species